UGGGCAACCUGCCCCUCUCUCUGGGAUAACCCCGGGAAACCGGAGCUAAUACCGGAUACUCCGGCUGGAUCGCAUGGCCCGGCCGGGAAAGGUCCGCCGGAGAGGGAUGGGCCCGCGGCCUAUCAGCUUGUUGGUGGGGUCAUGGCCCACCAAGGCGACGACGGGUAGCCGGCCUGAGAGGGCGACCGGCCACACUGGGACUGAGACACGGCCCAGACUCCUACGGGAGGCA
rnacentral:rRNA from 1 species